rnacentral:rRNA from 1 species
UACAUGUGGGGCAAGCGUUGUUCGGAAUUACUGGGCAUAAAGGGUGCGUAGGCGGCCUGUUAAGUCAGGGGUGAAAGACGGUAGCUCAACUAUCGCAGUGCCCUUGAUACUGAUGGGCUUGAAUACACUAGAGGUAGGCGGAAUGUGACAAGUAGCGGUGAAAUGCAUAGGUAUGUCACAGAACACCGAUUGCGAAGGCAGCUUACUAUGGUGUCAUUGACGCUGAGGCACGAAAGCGUGGGGAUCAAACAGG